AUUGAACGCUGGCGGCAGGCCUAACACAUGCAAGUCGAACGGUAACAGGAAGAAGCUUGCUUCUUUGCUGACGAGUGGCGGACGGGUGAGUAAUGUCUGGGAAACUGCCUGAUGGAGGGGGAUAACUACUGGAAACGGUAGCUAAUACAGCAUAACGUCGCAAGACCAAAAAGGGGGAGAUUCUGGCCUCUUGCCAUCGGAUAUGCCCAGAUGGGAUUAGCUAGUAGGUGGGGUAACGGCUCACCUAGGCGACGAUCCCUAGCUGGUCUGAGAGGAUGACCAGCCACACUAGAACUGAGACACGGUCCAGACUCCUACGGGAGGCAGCAGUGGGGAAUAUUGCACAAUGGGCGCAAGCCUGAUGCAGCCAUGCCGCGUGUAUGAAGAAGGCCUUCGGGUUGUAAAGUACUUUCAGCGGGGAGGAAGGGAGUAAAGUUAAUACCUUGGCUCAUUGACGUUACCCGCAGAAGAAGCACCGGCUAACUCCGUG
rnacentral:rRNA from 1 species